rnacentral:rRNA from 1 species
GCUUAACCGGGGGGCGAAGCCCUGACGGGGCAUACCGCCGUGAGGGAGGAAGGCUCUUGGGUCGUAAACCUCUUUUCUCCAGGAAGAAGAAAGUGACGGUACUUGAGGAAUAAGCAUCGGCUAACUCCGUGCCAGCAGCCGCGGUAAUACGGAGGAUGCAAGCGUUAUCCGGAAUGAUUGGGCGUAAAGGGUCUGCAGGUGGAACUGAAAGUCUGCUGUUAAAGAGUUUGGCUUAACCAAAUAAAAGCGGUGGAAACUACAGAACUAGAGUGCGGUAGGGGCAAAAGGAAUUCCUGGUGUAGCGGUGAAAUGCGUAGAUAUCAGGAAGAACACCGGUGGCGAAAGCGUUUUGCUAGACCGUAACUGACACUGAGGGACGAAAGCUAGGGGAGCGAAUGGGAUUAGAUACCCCAGUAGUCCUAGCCGUAAACGAUGGAUACUAGGCGUGGCUUGUAUCGACCCGAGCCGUGCCGGAGCUAACGCGUUAAGUAUCCCGCCUGGGGAGUACGCACGCAAGUGUGAAACUCAAAGGAAUUGACGGGGGCCCGCACAAGCGGUGGAGUAUGUGGUUUAAUUCGAUGCAACGCGAAGAACCUUACCAAGGCUUGACAUCCUGCGAAUCCUGGUGAAAGCUGGGAGUGCCUUAGGGAGCGCAGAGACAGGUGGUGCAUGGCUGUCGUCAGCUCGUGUCGUGAGAUGUUGGGUUAAGUCCCGCAAACGAGCGCAACCCUCGUUUUUAGUUGCCAGCAUUAAGUUGGGCACUCUAGAGAGACUGCCGGUGACAAACCCGGAGGAAGGUGAGGAUGACGUCAAGUCAGCAUGCCCCUUACGUCUUUGGGGCCUACACACGUUACUAACAAUUGCCUUACCG